rnacentral:misc_RNA from 1 species
CCGAGUUUACAACUCCCAAACCCCUGUGAACAUACCACUUGUUGCCUCGGCGGAUCAGCCCGCUCCCGGUAAAACGGGACGGCCCGCCAGAGGACCCCUAAACUCUGUUUCUAUAUGUAACUUCUGAGUAAAACUAUAAAUAAAUCA